AUGAACGCUAGCGGCAGGCUUAAUACAUGCAAGUCGAGGGGCAGCAUGAAGUAGCAAUACUUUGAUGGCGACCGGCAAACGGGUGCGGAACACGUACACAACCUUCCUUUAAGUGGGGAAUAGCCCAGAGAAAUUUGGAUUAAUACCCCGUAACACAACGAAGUGGCAUCACUUUGUUGUUAUAGUUUCGGCGCUUAAUGAUGGGCGUGCGUGCUAUUAGCUAGUUGGUGAGGUAACGGCUCACCAAGGCUACGAUAGCUAGGGGGCGUGAGAGCGUGGCCCCCCACACGGGUACUGAGACACGGACCCGACUCCUACGGGAGGCAGCAGUAAGGAAUAUUGGACAAUGGUCGAAAGACUGAUCCAGCCAUCCCGCGUGCAGGAUGACUGCCCUAUGGGUUGUAAACUGCUUUUAUAUGGGAAGAAUAGCAUAGAUUCAUCUGUGUAUGACGGUACCAUAUGAAUAAGCACCGGCUAACUCCGUG
rnacentral:rRNA from 1 species